rnacentral:lncRNA from 1 species
CAACAAGCGUGGCCACCUGACUGUGCCAGGGCAAGAAAGAGCUGCAAAUCCUGCGCAUGGAAGCACUGAUUCUCACUGCUCAGCUGCCCCUAAGCAGGACGACUCUGGUGUCACAGCUGCAGAGCCAGAGUGGCUGCAAACCCAGCACUUAGGUCCCUGUGUCCAGGCUAAACUGGAUGCUCAGAGGCAGAGGCUUUCAGGAAGAUGUGUCUUCAAGUCCUAAAUGUCCCCAUCUGUGAUUCUGUGUCAGACAAGUGAACCUGAGUUUCUGUCUUUGAAGAAUGCAAAUGUAAGAUUUACCUAAACUGCUUUAGGAUUGAAUCUGACAAGAAUAUUUGAAAAAGGAAGGAGCAUAUCUACAGGUGUGUUCUGCAAAGCUGGUCAUUUUUCCAUCUGUAGGCAUCCAUCCAGCUUCACCUGCCC